UCUCCCUUGGUUCUGGUCUGUGGCACUUGUCUCUAAACUGCACAUGGUUUCUGGGCAUUGUCCCUAUUUUUAUUUCUCACUGAAGUCAUUUUCUUCAUCAUUCCCACUCCUAUUUUCUCUCCACCCUCUGCCCUGAAGUCAGGGGACCUAAAAGUUUGUCACAGCCUCCCUCACUGCAACAUCAGUCCACAGAUGGGAAGUCCCAGCUUGCAGAAGUGAUGCUGGACAAUGCAAAUAAUACAAUUCUCCAUUUCCACAGUCACUCUUGGGGAAAAGGAAGGAUCCUGAUCCUGGGAAUGCUGAGGCUCCUAUUGGAUAUCAGUCAAAUUGGGUUUAAUGAGGCCUUUCCAAGGUUUUUUUAAAUGCAAUAUUGGAGAGUAUAAUUGUUGUUUAUGGGCACAUUUGCACGAGUGACUUGGCAGGUGAUUCAGUGAAAAAUACUCAGCCCAGAUGCCAUGUCCACGCUGCAAAGCAAUGCAAAGCAAAUAAAAAUGUCAAUAAGGAAUAAGCUUCUCCAGAGAACAAGCCAGCAGCAUAUUAAAGAGUUUCAUUUCAUUUCCUGGGUCUUCUGUUCCCUGAUUUCCAGAGUGGAAGAGUGCAUUUCUUUAUUGAAAGUAACUCAUUAAACUCUUCUGAAAAAGCUGACCAGAAAUCCUUUGUUGUGGGUCACUCAAGAGGAAGAUGAGCUUGUACAGUCUGCAGGCUGUGUGCUAGGAACUGGGAAUGCCUACACAAAAUUGGUGGGACAUGCUGGUAUUUUUAGCUUUCUUAUCAAUGCUUUUCAGAAUAAGUCAAGAAGAGGUUUUCAGGAGGAAAGACAGCAAGCAAAGUCCUCUUGGACAAUCCUUUGGACAAGGCUGUGGGAAAUUGGGAGCUGCUUCUCCAGAAGAUUUUACUUCUCUGUUCCUUGGACCUUUCUCAGUAAUGCUUUCCUGGCUAGGAAGCAUUAAUUGGAUUGUACCUGUACAGGUACAUCCUCAGUGGAUGUCUCCUUACAAGAUGAGUCUUACUGUGUCCAGCUCCCAGGAUCCUAAUGCUGCAGUGCCACUCAGUCCCUUUCAGGGCUCUGGUGACUGGCAGAAGAAACAAAUGAAGAAACAAAUCAUUUUUUGGUUACCAGGAGCAGAACUGGAAGCUCACACUGCCCAGCCCCAGUGCAGCCAGUCCUAAUGAUGGGACUGCUCCCAACUGACAGAAAAACCUUUAUCUUCCCUUUCACGAGAACUUUAACCCUCCCUUUAAAUAAAAGCUUGCCUGCUAAUUGGUUUGACCCCCAAUUCACCUGUUCAAUAAAGGAAUUCAUCACUUUUGCCCUAUCUGAUGGUUAAA